rnacentral:rRNA from 1 species
GACGAACGCUGGCGGCGUGCUUAACACAUGCAAGUCGAACGGAAAGGCCCAGCUUGCUGGGUGCUCGAGUGGCGAACGGGUGAGUAACACGUGGGUGAUCUGCCUCUAACUUCGGGAUAAGCUUGGGAAACUGGGUCUAAUACCGGAUAGGACAAUCGUUUAGUGUCGGUUGUGGAAAGUUUUUUCGGUUAGGGAUGAGCCCGCGGCCUAUCAGCUUGUUGGCGGGGUAAUGGCCUACCAAGGCGUCGACGGGUAGCCGGCCUGAGAGGGUGGACGGCCACAUUGGGACUGAGAUACGGCCCAGACUCCUACGGGAGGCAGCAGUGGGGAAUAUUGCACAAUGGGCGCAAGCCUGAUGCAGCGACGCCGCGUGGGGGAUGACGGCCUUCGGGUUGUAAACCUCUUUCGACAGGGACGAAGCUUUGGUGACGGUACCUGUAUAAGAAGCACCGGCUAACUACGUG